UUACUUUAACCAGAUGAUGGAGACAAAGUGGGUUUUCGAACCAGUUCCAGAUGUUCGACUGAGCCCGCGUGUUCCUUUAAGGACAGAACUCUAAACUGAAAGCAGACACAAAGUCACACAAAAGACGUUUCCGGUUGUUGUGUCCCUUCGCAGUCGAAGCCGAUGUUCGGACAAAUGGCUGGUCUCUCAUUUCCUUCAAACCCAGCACGUAGAUAAAGACGCGUCACGUGUUUUGUCAGCGUUUGAGGAAGCCCAUGGGUCCAAUGCGUUGACAUGUUUGUUGUAGUGGAAGCGGGAGGAGUUUUCCUCACUUCCCUUUUUGAAAGGAACGUCUGCAUAAGUCUCUCCUCUGCCUCAUCCUUGUUUUCCAGCUGUCGGAGAAGCAUGGAGGACAGCAGCAGCCAGGUAGAGAUGAUGCUGUCAUAUGACAUGAAGGACGGCGAUGUGGAGAAUGAAGUGAGACACCAUCAAGAUCACAAGUCCAGUUACAAAGCCUACGUGGCUCAGAGGUUUGGACGCACACCCAGAAAUCUGUGCUUGAUAGCAGCCACCGUCGUCAUUGCCUUUACCACUGGCUUCUUGACUGGCUACCUGGUUCAUAGGAACAAGGGCUCUGCUGCAGCCCCCCUGGUCCAGAUUGAAGAACCUGUUGCCCGUGAGACAGGUGCUGCCCCUCUCAUGGACUGGGAUAAUGUCACAGAUCUCCUUGCUCAAAAACUCACCACAAAGCAGUUUGAAUCUACUUUUAGUGAAUUUGCCAGUGUUGACCAUCGGGCCGGUUCUCCUGGCGAUGAAGCUCUACGAGGCAAAGUGCUGAAGAAGUUUAACGAAUAUGGAAUGAACCCUUGGACUGACGAGUAUUUUGUUAGGGUUCAGGACCCCCCAGCUUCAGGCUCCAACAAAGUGGUUUUCAAUGGGAGGACCUAUCAUCCAAAGGGCUUCCUGUCCUACAGUGUCAAUGGAACAGUCACGGGAGCAGUGGUGUACGCACAAUAUGGGGACGAAGCAGACUUGAACCAGUUGCAGGACAAGAACAACCUAAACAUUGACCUGAGUGGCAGAGUCGUGCUGGUCAAAUCUGGUAAGAUCAGCUUCGCUGAGAAGGUGGCCAAUGCUGCCAGAAGGAAUGCCUCUGCCGUAUUGAUCUUCCCAGGCAGCACUGAUGGCUCUUUUGGGAGAGAAACCCAGCUCUUUGGCCAUGUCCACUUGGGUUCAGGGGAUCCCUACACCCCAGGCUUCCCCUCCUUCAAUCACACCCAGUUUCCUCCCGUCCAGUCUUCAGGCCUGCCUUCAAUUGUGGCCCAAACCAUCUCAAUAAACACAGCCAACGACAUUCUGAGACAGCUGCAGGGUCCCAGUUCUCCAACUCAAUGGAGGGAUGUCUUGCGACUGGGAGGCGAGAAAGACGUCAUUACUGUGGAGGUUAAUAACGUUCUUAGUGAGAAAAGGAUAAAUAAUGUCUUUGGGGUCAUAAAAGGCUUUGUGGACUCAGAUCGGUAUGUGAUCAUCGGGGCUCGGAGGGAUGCGUGGGGACCAGGUUUUGCAGCGUCAACCGUUGGUACCAGCGUCCUUGUUGAGCUGGCGCGUUCCAUCUCACACAUGGUGAAGAACGAUGGAUUCAAGCCGAGAAGGAGCCUUGUGUUUGCGAGCUGGAGCGCUGGAGAAUAUGGGAACGUUGGCGCCACUGAGUGGCUGGAGGGUUAUUUGUCUUCCCUGAGCAUGAAAGCCUUUUCCUACAUUGACCUGGAUGGUGUAGUAACAGGUCAGAGUAAUUUUAAGGUUGCUGCGAGUCCCCUAUUGCACACUCUGAUUGGAAGCACAAUCAAAGGGGUGAGCGCUUUAAACAAGGAUGCAAACCUCCUUUCUCAAGUAGCAGGCAACUGGGAAUCAAGUGUGUUAGAGCCUCUAAAGUUGGACAGCGCUGCAUAUCCUUUCCUUGCUUUUUCUGGGAUUCCCUCAGUCUCCUUUAGACUGACGUCGGAUGAACUGGGCUACCAGUACUUUGGUACAUUGCUGGACACACGGGAAAAGCUGAACACGGUGACGCAGAACAGUGUCGCUCAGCUGACUCGAGUAGCAGCCCAGUUCGCAGGUCACAUAGCCCUGAGGCUGGUCCACGAUCAUCUGUUGAGGAUGGACCUGGGAAGAUAUGAGAAAAUUAUACGUAAUCAUGUGGCACACAUCAACGUGAAAGUCAAUAGCAUUAAGAUGAUGCAGCCUCAGCUGUUGCCCAAGACGCUGACAGUGCAGUGGUUGAUCUCAGCCUAUAGCGCCUUCAACCGCGCAUCUCGUAGUUUGACAGCAGAUAUCCAAAACAGCGAUCUGGAGGACAUCAAGAUGUGCCGCAGUAUCAAUGACCGCAUUAUAAUGGUGGAAAGGAACUUCCUGUCGCCCUUUGUGUCUCCCAGGGAGAGUCCCUUCCGUCACGUCCUCCUGGGCUCCGGCCCGCACACACUCGAGGGUCUGUACAACCACCUCAAUGCCAUGAGAAACAACGACCCCAACGUAGAUGUGGAUGCGUUCAGAGACCAGUUUGCUCUGGCCACCUGGACCAUUCAGGGCUGUGCUAAUUCGCUAGCAGAAAUUGGCGUCUACGAACAGGAUCCGCUGCAGGUCGUCUGGACGGUGUGACCAGGGACGAUAGUCCUGAGGACUAGGGUCGCUCAGCCUCCAAACCUCUACAGCUGUUCUGAGUGGGAGGACUGCUCACCCGUCUGGAUCGCCUCUGACGAGAUCCAACGAACACAAAACCUCUACCCGGCCCGUUCCACACCUCCCUCUGUGAAAACAUGAUGGAGACGGAUGCAGGAUGUGGGUCCUUUCGUGAACAGAUGUCAACGGGGUGGAGACUGGUAAAUGACUUCUGACCCCAUGUGACGUAUUCACCUACUUUGCAUACUUUAUAAUUUUUUUUAUUCUGCCCGUCAUGUGCAACAAACUGAACUUGGCACCUCCACAUUCUAAUGACACACACUACAUGCUUUUGUUUUUAUUUUCAUUUUUCAGAGGACGCUCUGACCCAACACUCAGCCUUACAGGAAGCUCCUGCUUCCCUGUGGCUCACACACAGACAUGAUGUAGGUUUGAUCAGAGGAUGUGAACCAGUGGUCAUCACACCUAAAUCUGACCACAGACCAUGUAAACAACAACACCCUCUUAAAAGAAGCCAUAGAUGGUGUUACUGCAGACACCACUAAGCUACUGAAACAUUGGAUGCUACAGGCCACAAAGAGAGCCUGUCUAAAUUACAGUUAGUUCAGACAAAGGUUAUUUUCUGGGUCAUUGUAAUUACAGCUGAUGGCAAAUCCAUCUCACCCAACAGAGUUAAAGCAAUGUGAAACCUGCCUAAACCGUGCACGUAUAAACAGCUUAUCUUUUCUAGGUCUUUGUUCUUAUUGUAGGAACUUCAUUCCUAACUUUACUGUCUUUGAGGUCCCACUCAGGGUUCUGAUGCAGGCGUCUUCAUCGUCCACUUCUUGUCUCACGUGGACGUCUGAGGCUGAACAACGUUCACUGACCUCAUGCUUGCUCUUCAGGCUCCUACUUUGGGUCUUCCUGAUCUGACCCUACGCGACCUUUCACUCAAACAGUGGAUGAGAGAUCAGGUUGUACGACUUCUGUUCUUUUGUCCUCAUACUGUUUUUGAUUCUUUUGGAAUAGAUCACAUCUUUCUACAGCUCGAUGGCUUGGAUACAACACCACCUUGCUCAACAUGCUGAACAUUAUUAUCAAGAGGUCGUCUUGAAGUCUGGCGCUUUGCUAAGACACUACUCUGCUCAGGCUGCAGAGUUGAUCGCGUUGACUGAAGCUAGUAAACUAGCAGAAGGAGAGUCUGUUACCAUCUACAGACUCCACAGACGCUCUGUGGAAGCAUAGGAAGCUUUUUAAGUCUGAUUGCAAACCUAUCUUACAUCAUGAUAAGGUUCUGCUUUGCUGGACGCUGUCCUGCCACCUACAGCUAAUGCUGUUUGUAAUUGUCCCACUCACAACAUCAGUGAAUACUUUGUUUCUGCCGACAUGCAGCUGCAGACGCUGCUGCGAAGGUCGCUGCCCAACAACCCCUCCCUCUCCUGAUCCUCGUUUCCUCUCUCCAACUCUCUCUAUCCUUUCCUUCCUCUCUCCCUGUGCUUUAAACAUUUUGUACCUCACAGGAACGCAGACUCUGGCUGACGAAUGGUUCCACCUGUAGCCAUGGAGUCUGGUUUGGGCCUGAUGGCAGCCGUGCCGCCCAAACACUUUUUCCCCACAAUUCAGAUUUCCCAACAGGUGAAAACAGGCGACAGGGCCAUUACACCAUCCAACCAGGGGACUGGGCGAUCGUUAAGGAGUUCAGGAGGAAGCAUUGGGACUCCAAACGGUGGCGAGGCCACUUCCAGGUCCUUCUGACGACCCACACGGCUGAAAGAUCGCAGAGAGAGCGACUUGGAUCCACUCCACUGCAAGAAGGUCCCGGAUCCAACAGACGACCCUCCAUCUACAUCUACACCACACGAGAAAGCCACCACUAACGAGAAGAACUGAGAAGGACGACCCUCGCUGUGCUCACACACGCACUGAGGCGAGGCUGCGUUGACCGUUCAGCUAAAGGUGUGAGCCAAGCGCCGCCUGAAGCUGCGCCGGUGAAUCACACUAUCAGACCAUACAUCUACACACACGUUUCUGAGAAAACACACACACGAGCAGCCUUGAGUUGCCGACGCUGGACGACGUGUAGACUCUUCAAAUCACGGGAGUGACAGUGACUCAGACGACAUUGGGAGGAAACCUGGCGGUGAUAACAAAUCCCAGGUGUCUCUGUGAUCAGCUGAUCACAACCUGAAGAACUCCAACGAACUGUCAAUGCGUCAACACAAGGGUUGGAAACAAUCUAACGCUACUGUUCAACAGGACGAAGCAGAUUGUUACAUGCUUUGUUAGACUUCAUUUUAUGUUACUUGGAUUGUUGCCUUUAUCACAUGAUGUUUCUAUAUAACUUUACACACUACUUUUGAAGAAGAAAAUGUCACAACGACACUGAGUUUAAAUAUCCUAAAGUUGACUUUGUGUUUAAUUUGCUCACAAUCACUUUAUUCACUGCUACAAAAAUUUUUUUUAAUCUUUCAUCUACAGAUGAAAGACAACACAAGCGGAAAUAUGCACCAUCAUUCUGGUUAAAUCCCUGAUUCUCUUAUUCAUUCUAGACCCAAAUGUACAAUUAAAGAUCCGAAAGUUAUCCCACUGGUUAGAGGUCUCAUCAUGCGUGCAACCUCAGCAACACUCUUGUAUAAAAUGACACAAUGCACUAUGUUCAAAAACCCCAACUCUAAUUCACUUAAUGACUUUGACGAUGGUCUUAGGUUAUCUGACCACAAAAAAUAUAAUAUGAUACAAAUAUGAUUAUGGUCUUAUUUUCUUCACAUGCUCAUACAGAGGUUAUUCUUGUAUAACUACCCACCAAAACAGCUCACAACGUUUUGUCCCUAAGUUACUUGCAUUUUAUGUGAAGGUGUAUUUUUGAAUUUUGACUUACACUUAUACACGUACUGUUUUAUUUGUAAGGGUUGUUACAACAAAAUGCAAUGUUUGAAAAAUUUUAUUAUUUUAGUGUUUGAUUAAUGUGUAAUCAAAAGGGGGGAAUGUAAUGGAAAAAUUUUGCCUUGUGCUAUUUCUUAUCCAACACAGUCGUCAUGUGCUGGUUAGGUGCAAUACUGAACAUUCUUACACAAACAACUAAUCUCUUGUGCCCUGAUGUACAUCAAGUCUAAACAUCUGAUGUUCCAUUUGACUGACUAAUAAUUUAUGAUAUAUGUUUGUCUUUUACACCCGGACUCUGGCUCCAUUCUAUCUGACUCCCCACCAGACCCAAGGCUGUUAAAGCCAAUGCAUCUUGUCUUGGAAGCUCGGUGUUCCUUCCUUUGGAUAACAAGACAGGGUGAUGCAGAAGUGAGAAAGCAAACAUUCUCACUCACAGCGAGAUAAGGUGGCACAAACAAUUCCAUUGCUGCAGAGAGACAUUCCACCAGAGCCAGAGAAAAGGGGUUAAAAGGCAGAGACAACGUGAGGAUCGUGGGCUCUUUGCAUCACACCUUCGUGGUGUGUGCACUGAUCUCCCCAGCUGGUUUUUGGUUUGUUGAUGUGCACAAUCAACAUCCAUGCUUCUUAUUUGCUUUCCCCAUUAUUUUUAUUUUCUUUAUUAUUUCAAUAAAUUGCACAAAAGGACAA